UGGAGCAGUGCUCUCCGUUCCUAAUUCUUUUUGUAUUGUUCUUUCAUGUCGAGUCACUCCUCUUCCUCUCUCUCUCUCUCUCUCUCUCUCUCUCUCUCUCUCUCACACACACACACACACACACACCCCUGUUCAUACUGUUUGUUAUCUCUCCUAUGGAAUUUAUGUCCGUUGAAUGGCAUGGCUGAGGGUAAUCUCUAGAAAUCAGAUUUGAAGGUAAGACUUGUGAUCUUUGGUUGGAGAAGGUAGGAGGAUGGUGUUCUGUUUAUUAGAGAAGAAUCUGGUUUGCGAACAUUAGAGUAGUGUUUUGUUGAGGGUGGCACAAUGAAUCUACAAUUGCUUUCUCUGAGUUUGGUUGGUUGAUUCAUCCUGUUUGUAGGAGUUUUUGGAGGUUCAAUUAUUGGGUGGCUGUUAGAUCUACUUGAAGGGACACAUUAUUUGAUGUUGGGUUGUGUUUGAAUGGGAAAGGAUCUUUGAUUUAUGUUCUUGUUGUAGGAAGGGAGAUCACUGGGGUUGUUUCCUUGGGGUGUUCUUGAAUUAGCUGUCAGUAUGAUGGAGCUGUAGUAGUUCCACUUUCUGAAUGUGAGGUGAUUUGAGAGUUGGAAAUAAAGAAUGGAACAAUGUAGUGACUGAUCUCUAAGUUUGGUUUGUGUUGCAUUCCGGAUGUGCAAAGUGGUGGGGGCCUGGAAAUGGUGCAGUGGAUGUGAGGUGUCUGUAGUUUACUGCAGGAGGAAGGAGAGGAUGGAGGGGGAUUUUGGGGGUGGAGCCUGAAGUACACUCAGCUAUGCUUUGGAGUGGACCUGGGUUGAUCAGUAUUGCUGCCAAAGAUUGCCAAAUUAAAUUGGUGCAGCCAUAGCUGUUAGGAAGUGGAUUGAGAAGGAAAACAACAAUGUUGGUAGGAGGCUUAGGUGCCUUUUGGUGUUUGCAGGAAUAUUUUUGUUUAUUUUGUGCUACAAGAUUCCAGGGAAUGCAAUCAGGAUGACUGUGUUUGGUUCAGCAUGGGUAUUCUAGCACACCAUUUCAAUUGCCAUCAUACCUUGAACAACAAUUCUAUUUUUCCUGCAAAAGCUAAGAAUGUACCAAAUUUUAUCCAUAUCCUAAAAAUCUCAACCAUCAUAAAUAUUGAAAAAAAAAAUCCAACUCAAUUAUGAUUUCAUUUUUAUUGAUUUCUAUAUGCAAGUAUUAUGAUAAUUUAUUGUGAUAGUUAUAAUCAUAUCAUGCAAUGAUAUUAAAUUACAUUAUUAUGGGGCUUUAAUAUCGUACUGACCAAAAUAGUUAGGUCACUUUAGUUUCAAAAUUAGGAUGCUGAUGGAGGAAUGGGAUUUCCAUGAAACAUGCCUGUGGGAGAGCAUGGCAUAGGAUUUCCAUGUUUUGUGGGAAUCCUUCUCUCUCAGGGAAUGUGAGAUUACCUUCAUGUCACUUUUCUACCCCCGAGAAAUGUAGGAAUGGGCUGCCAUGGCUAUCAGAUUCCCAGCAACGCUGAAAGAUCCUACUAACCAAACACCUCAGGAACUUUAGAGACCUGGCACAGACAAAACCACAUAUGACAUGUUAAGGACGACACCAUGUCAUGAUUCACCUGUACAGCAUACAGCGAGGCAUGCUGGUGGCUGUGGGGAAUUUCAACAAGCAAGAGCAUCUGAACUUUGGCAACAACGAAUACAUUUAUCUUUUUUGGUACAGGUGGCAUCUUCACGGAAAGAGGAAAACUGAGAUGAUUUGAGGGAAAUUCAGGAAAAAGUGAGGGUAUUUGUCAAAGAAGAUUGAUAUACAGCAGGUGAUUCCAUCAAGUAAUCAGAAGCACAAAAUUCUUGGGAAAAGAACAGGGAUUUGGAGUGACGUAUAUGAAGUUUAUCAAAAGCACUGGUGACAGGAGGUUUUCACUGGUGGGGAGGGAGUAUAAUUUAGUGAUUGGGUCUAGCAAUUGUGAGGGCAGUGAUGUGGCUUUGAACACAAAAUGGGGAGAUGAGUCUAGAGUAAAUUUGGUAGUUAUAUGGAUGUGAUUAUGAUUUAUUAUUGGAUGAAAUUUUAGCACCAUUUUAGUUAUAACUUGAAUGAUUUUUUGCAUGCUAGAGAUCCCUGUUAUUUUACCUGUUAUGGGAUCGUUAUGCUUUUGCUACACAAGUUGGAGUCCAUCCAAAAAUUAUUUAUACAGCAAUUUUCUGUCUA